CAUGGAUAGGAUUUCUUCUCUAUAGAAGUGCAGAUGUCCAAGGAUGUGAAUGUGCUGGCCCACAGUGGAAGAGGAGGUGGAGGACCUUGGAUUCCAGGGAGAGAAGCUGGAGAACAGUGCAGAAAGAAGGAAGCUGUGAAGGAAAUCGGAGGCAAAUGGAAGACAGACCUUCAUUCUCAUUGCUGCAGCUGUUCCUGCCUUGAGGCAGUGAAAGGAACUCCUAUUUGCUCUGCACCCCUGCACUGAUACACAAUUUCACUGGAACUGAGUCAUCUCCGAUGUAUCUGCUAAACCCUGGCUGAAGACAAGAUUAUCUCAACACAGCAAGAAUUUGAUAAUAAAACACCCAGGAGAACCAUACACUUGUGAAAGAAAAAAAGCAAUGGAACUGAAACCAAACACCUACUUGGUCAGCAGGAGAUCAGAAGUCCUGUUCGGCUCCUAGCAACCUGCCUGUCAGUCUGGAAUAUUGCUGUAAAAUCUAUGCAGUUAUGCUGCCUUCACAUGGAUGCCUCCAGCUAGAUGAAGUGUGUGUGUGUGUGUGUAAUUUGAGCUGGGGGGGAAUACCUGAAAUACUGCACUCCCAGAACCCUUUCCAGCAGCACAAGUUACUUGUUGCUUGAAUAACAAGCAUCCACAACUAAAUGUCACUUUGAAUUGUCCCAUUGACUCACUAACACCACACAAUAAAAUAGUCCUUUUCUUUCUGGGACUUAAGAGUGCUGCUCUGUCCGUGCCUGCACAGAUGGACACCUAUGUAAGCUGCAAACUGAAUGAGAAAACAACGUUCCCUGCUGGUUUGCGUU